rnacentral:lncRNA from 1 species
CUCAGACAUACAGGCACCCGUGUCAGGGCUCCCACUCAGCAAGGGAGGAAAAUAAAAGGAGAAUCAAGUGAAGGGAAAGGAGAAAGGAGGCAGAAGAGAACACAAGAAGUUCCCUUUAACGGGAGGAAAAGUAUGAACAUAAUUAUGGGACCAGAAUGGACAGCUAGAUGUACACGUGGAGUUAUGUUAAAUUUUGAACUGUUGCUUUCAAAAUGGGCUGGCCUUGAUGUCGCUGCUCCAGUGAGAACGAAAGCAGGGGCGGCAGCAGCAAAGCGCCUGUUCCCUGAAAAGCAGACCUCAGAACAGGAGGAACGCAGCCUGGGCCUGCAGAAAACACCCAGGAGAGAGGUGAAUACUCUUUGACAACAGCUGCCAAGAAUAACAAGACUCAGAAGAAAUUAGGAGGCAGCAGCUAUAAAUAUACAGCAUAAGAGGAAAUGCAGCCCACAAUUUUAAGGGGAAAUGGGGCCUACUGCACUCAAAGACCAACAGUAAAAUUCAUUUAAAGGCACGGGGCAUCCCACUGGAGGACUGAGGGGAGUUUCACAGGCUUAUCUUUCAUGUCAAUCAGAAAAAUAUAUACUUGAUAAAAUAUUUUUCUUAAGUUAGUUAAAAAGUGGCUGUCAUUAGUAUCAACUUUGGGGGCACCAAAAAUUGCUUUAUGACU